UACGUAGGGACCAAGCGUUGUUCGGAUUUACUGGGCGUAAGGGCGCGUGGGCGGCGUGGUAAGUCACUUGUGAAAUCUCUGAGCCUUAACUCAGAACGGCCAAGUGAUACUGCUGUGCUAGAGUGCAGAAGGGCAAUCGGAAUUCUUGGUGUAGCGGUGAAAUGCGUAGAUAUCAAGAGGAACACCUGGAGGUGAAGACGGGUUGCUGGGCUGACACUGACGCUGGAGGCGCGAAAGCUAGGGGAGCAAACGGG
rnacentral:rRNA from 1 species